UCUACCUUUUGCCUCUGUGCUUUUAGCUUUCUCUAUUCUAUAUACCUUUCUUCCCUUCUUACUCUAUAGCUGGCUCUGUGGCUGGGUGGCUGAACGCUGGUGUCCUCCUCUCCCUUCUCCUUUUCUUGCUCCUCCCUCUCUUUCUCCUUCUAUUUAAUCUCUCUGCCUAGCAGUCUUGCCUAUCCCUCUCUUGCUUAGCUAGGGUCAGUUCAGCUCUUUAUUAGACCAAUCAGGUGUUUUAGACAGGCAACUUAACACAGCUUCACAGAGUUAAAUAAAUACAACAUAAAAGAAUGCAACACAUCUUUGCAUCAUUAAACAAAUAUUCCACAGCAUAAAGGAAUGUAACAUGUUAAAUUAAUAUUCCACAACAGCUAUCACAGUCUGAAGGGAAGAUUUGACCUUGUAAAGUGUCAGCCAACUGGGACAGCCAGCAGAUCCUGUGCAUGCGCACACUGUAGACACAUGGCUCCACCAGGAAUCCAGACAAUUUUGGAGUGGACAAAAAAAUCGAGGAGGAUCAUCCCAAUGUGCAUGCCAGAUCAGGUUUUUGAAGUAUGACCUGAUGAUUCUCCGGAUUUCUUCAGUGUCUGUUGUGGAGAUUGGACUUUCCCAGGGAGUAUGAAGAACAACAUCCUGAUUUACUAAAGUCUUAGAAUCCUAGAAGCCAAAUAUGAUGGCCCAUGUCUGUUAUUAUAGCACUUGUGAGAUUGAGGUAAAAGGAUUUCUAUGAUUUUGAAGCCAGCCUGAGCUACAUGAUUCUUAUC
rnacentral:lncRNA from 1 species